ACUUUGCAUUUUUCGGUUACGUUCCAAGUCUUUAUCUUUUUUCCUUCUCUAAUUGAAACGCAGCCGAUACUCCUUCAUUCUCUGGAUAAGUAACUGUCUUAAAACAACUGGCAAUUACUUUGGGACUCAAAAAGGAAAGAAGGGAUUUGGGCCAGAAAGUUUAUGGGGGGAAAAAAAUUCCCUCAAAAAGCAAAAAAAACCUAACUCCACCAUUGUUUUAUUUAACUUCUCAAAAGAGAAAAAUAAAAGGCAACACCAUUUCUAAGUAAGAAGAGGAAGAAAAAAAAAAAGAGGUGAGAAUAACAAUAAAUGUUUGAUUCCCUGUAAAUGAUUUGCAGACCUUUUUUUAUGCCAUCAUUCUUCAAGUACAGUAUGGGGUUUUUUUUAUUAUUAUUAUUAUUUUAUUUAUUUUGUCUUUCUAAAGGGAUUGCACUUGCUAAACCCCCCACUCUGGGUUGUUAGUGCUUUAUGUGGCAGAUUCCUUAGCAGUAGUGUGUAAGUGCUGCCAUUUGUGAGUAUUUUGUGUCCUUCAGCCCUCCUAGGAAGGUGUAGGUAGGAACGCUCUAAACCUUGUAAUAGUGGCCUGUGGGGAGAGGAUGGCAAAGUAAUGGCUAAUGAACUGGAAGCUGGCUGGAAUUUGGGGACAAAUACUAAACAUAAUCAAUAUAUAUAUAUAAUUUUUUUUUUCUAAAAAAGAAGCCAAAAAAAAAAGCAAUGAAAAUUUAUGACCUUAACAUUCCUUCAGGGUCAAGCAAUUUAUCAAAUUCUCUCACUUUCUGGUUUCAAUUACACAGCUAUUGUGGAAGGAACUUAUUUUAGCAGGUUCAUUUGCCUCAGUAGGGAAUACAGGACUUUGGCCUAAUGCUUCACCUUUAGUGCAGGCCAUUUGAGCCUUAGAACAAAUACCAAUCAUCACUCUUUGGAAAAAAAAAAAAAAAAAAAGAAAAAAAAUCUGCAUCGGAGUGGCCUAUUGGAAUGGGGUUUCUGUCAAGGUAAACGGUUGUCGGCAAUGACUGUGGUAGAGUGGCGAUAAAUCCCAUUUUAUUGCUGAAAAAUUCCAGCUUCUCUCCAUGCCUGACAGCUCCCCACAUUCUCGUACCCAUUUGGGCAAUUUCUGCACUAUGUCCAUCUGGUUCUUAUUACCUCUCAACCUGCCAGUGUCUGAUCCAGAAAAAGUGCAGGUCAAAAACAGGGGAAAGAAACCAAGGUGAUGGACAAAACAGAGAGAGAAUGAUUGAGAGACCGAGCCACGCUCCCUGUUCCUCCCCCCCCCCCCAGACAAAUAAAAAAUAAAAAAUAAUUAAAAAAAAGGUUUAAGGGGAAUAAACAAAUUUAAGGGAGGCUAUUAGCUUUAUUAUGGAGUUCCUAGCGAUGUCCUUACAAUAGAAAAUUAAACAGGUAACAAUCCACACGCUCCAAGCUUCAGUAAUGCCACCAAAUAUUUGAUAUUUACUCAGGACACGAGUGACGCCUGCCUAAAUAAAACUUUCCAGGAGAAAUGGGAGAAGUCAGGACAUGCAACCCUCCGUUGGGGGAGUCCUGGUGCCCCCAUCCCGCCUGCAGCCUUCUCCGCCGCGUGCCUUUGGAGACUCGCUUCCACAGGAUCGUUUUGGGGUUGCAAAUUGUUGCAGAAGGUCAGCCAACGUAUAAUUAAAUUAUAAUUUGAAAAAAAGAAAAAAAGAAAAAAAAAGAAAGUUAGGCUGCCUUCAUGUGAUAGAAAAGUGAGCAGAAAGGAAAAUCUUCAUUUCCAUGCGAGUUUUUUACAUGCUGCUGAAUCCAGACCUACAUUAGGAAGUUCAGUUUCUUCUCAAAACCUGCUGACAUAAGUAGAGGGAAUGUUUGGCUAUUUUUUGAAAUUUAAAAACCAAACAGUUUAGCCCAGGACAACUGAACUGUUAUUAAGCCAAAACAAAAAAAAUGUGGGAACACUGGCUCUUCUCCCAGUAAACCCUAUAUCGCAUGAUACUUGUCAAGAACCCACCAGCACUGCCAGGAGGCAAGCCGUGACCCACCAAUGCAAUCUUCCCCUUCAAGGGACCCUGUGAGUUUAAUUGCAAUCCCUGUAUUUAUUCUACCUGAAACACCUCGUAUUCCACCCAAACCGCUGUAUCUUUUCCCCAGCAGAAGAUCCCUGCUCUGGCCCUGUGGUCUUGUGAUGGCUUUACUCAUUCCUGUUUCCUGGAGAUGCCAGGGAAAUUAAACCCAACUUUUUGUUUAUCUCUUCCCCUAAAGGUCUGACUGAAUUCCCGUCAGCAGGAAAUUUGGAGCAUGCCCUGAAGUCUGCUUGGUGAUCUUUGGUGCCCAUGAGCGUCCUGUGUUGGGGGGACACAACACCCCAUGCAGAUUUAUUUGCCAAGCUAUCAAAGUGCAGUUUGAGGUGCCUACGACAGCCUUUGCUGGACGAACCGCUCUCAACCACCCCGUUCCUCGCGAAGCCAUGGGAAACAAAAGAAGCUGACGACAGGGGAAGCCCCAACUCCGACAAUAAAAAUAUGUCAGCAUGAAAAUGGUUAAUGAUUGCAUUUUAAAUCAAAAUGUUCUCCAUGACUGACUGCUUUGCAGCACUAGGGUACAGGGCAGCAUCCCGCACUCUUUGCAUAAGCACAAGCCCCACUGACGUCAAUGGGAGUUUUGCCGGAGCGAGGGCUGCGCGCCUUGGCCCACUGCUAUAAACACGUUGGGACUUUCUCUUUUAAUGGAUGCUGGAAUGGAGAAACGAGCCUCCCUCUAACGAGACACGCGGUCCUCGAGCAUCCCCAGACCGACUGCACGGCGGCCGCUGGGCCUGCAGGUCAAUACACAUAAAGUAACCUGUGUCUUUCCGAGAGAGGGUCGGGGUUGUGUUCUGAAGAAGCCUGUAGGUAAGAGACAUCCCGGUAUUCGCACAGGAGGAUGCAUAAGGCAGAGACGAGAAUAUAAAGGUAUAAUUUUGACGUGACGAGCUCUGCUUGGAAAAUGUCUUCAACUCAUCCGAAAGAAGCAACAGCCACCCCCCUUGCAAAGCAUCACAACAAAAACCGUCAGCAACCCGAGCCGGAGAGAGACCAACAGGUUGUUGCCACUUUUGCUGCCUUCGCCUCGGAGGAGGCGAGUAAUGUUGCAGCCCCUCAGAAAUACGUCUCUUAUGCCCCGAAUUUCUGCUGACCAACCAACCAGUAGAUUCAGACGUAAGGAGUAUUUAUUAUUGUCGAGUAAGGUUUUCUUUUUACUUAAUCUGAGGCAAUUAGUACCUGAAUAAACACAGGCCAAGUCAUCUACCUCCUCGAAAGGUAAUUAGACUUGAAAAGCGCUGCUUGGCUGUACCCAAGCAAAGCACAUCUCUGAUCAAAAAGCUUUGGAGAUUCAUCCCUAUUCCCUUUUGCCCCAGAAAACCUUGUCUAAAAUCCCUCUAACUUUGGAUUUCUCGCCCCCGCCAAACCCGGUUGCCGCUCUCUCCCCCGCCCCUCCCCUCCCCAAAUCUUUAACCCUGCUUCUCAUUUUUCUUUGCCCCUAAUCUAAUCGCUAAUUCCUUGGCUCGGCCAAAUAGUUAAAAAUGUGAAGUGCUGCUCGUGGUUCCUGCCGCCUCCCCCUCGUAUCUGUCUCUGUUUAUGGAACGGGCCCUGGUUUCCUCCUGCUCGCCUUCAGCUGGAGGUCUGCAGGUCAGGAGACUGUAAAUACACACCGCGCUGCCCUGGCCCAUAAAUCUGAGCAAAGGGCAGCCUUAUAUAUUCAGAUAAGGGAUGCUGGGGGGAGCAACAAAAAUGGGAGAAGGGGACAGGCGGGCUCGGUGGCAGAGCAGGCGCUUUGCUGGGGACAAACCCUACGGUGCCGGCAGGGCAGAGGGGGAAAAGCGCCUGCUGCCACGCAGGAUGUGCCAGCCAGAGAUGAAUCUGAAAAAUGUUUGCCCUUCUCACACCCCGCCUUGUUUAUAUAUAAAUCAUUGCAAAAUGCAUUUUAUUACCUUUGGGGCAACGAAAUUAAACAAGAGAUUUCAAUGGCUUUCUCUCCUCCAGACCUUUGUUGGUCUAUUUUCUCCCCCCCCCCCCCGCCUUUUAUUUCCAGCACCUCCGAAGCUUUCAAGGGAACAGUCCCCCCUGUUAUUGCUUCUCAGUUCCAAGGUCUUAGAAUAAAUAACAUUGUUAUUACUCACUUCACCAAUUUCCAAGAAGAAAUAUUGCUGCAGCAAAUGCGAGCAGCACUAAUAUUUGCAAAGUGAUAAAUGGAUUGUUACAUACCUUCCCGUCUGUGUGGCCUCCAGCCAUCCUCCGGCCGGCUACAUCCCUCCUUGGGGCAGAGGGAGGGUGCCUUUGAACUUAGCGGGGUCCAGACACUUUGUGCCUCGCACCAGAGCCUGCCCCCAGCCCCCUCCCUUGCCCUUGGAUGGAGAGAGAAUUUUCAAUGGCAGGACCACAGGACGGGGGAAAGCAGGAGCCGCAUACCGGCACCCAGCAGCCCAGUGAGGAUGCUUUUGGCAUUCUGGUUUGGUGGGUGGUGUUGGUGCUGGGUGCUGCAGGCAGAGGGGUGAGAGGGUUGGGGUGCCCUUGCGGCACUGCAGCUGCCCCCUGCCCUCCCCAGCCCUGGCCAGCGCUGGCACAACCACUCCGCCACAGGGUACCACGUCCCCUGUGUCACAGCGAGAUCACCUACCCUCCUCCGGCUGCAGGCGACGAGCAAAGCGGGCAGAGAAAGGCUUGUGGAGGAGAAAAAUUUGUUUUCAUAUUGCCCCCACUCUGUUCCCAAAAAUCCCCGCUGCCUGAAUGGAACCACAGUGAAUACCUGCGGUGGCAGGGGUACAGAUGCCUGGUGUGGCGAAACCUGGAAGGACGUAUUCCCUGCCACCACUGCCCUUGCUGUUCAUUAAAUCUCAUUAAUUCUCAUGAAAUUCCCAGCAAACUUUCUUAACCAAAGCUGAGGUUGGGGAGGUGCUGAGGCCGGGAGAAGUCUGCUGGCCUUCUCACCCCAAACCUGGUGGCUCACUGCAUCAUUUCUGAGCUUCAAAAGAGGUGGCAAUCAGGAAAUUCACACUUGAAUAAUUAAAAAACAAUGAAAUUGUGGAUUUCUUUUUUAAUUAGCAGUUUUAUCUAGCUCUAAGACAUGGUUUGGGCUUCUUAAUUUUAUUUAAAACAAACCCCCCAAAUCAAAUUAUUCCUGGGACAUGAGUCAUGCUGAAAACCGCUCUGAAUGUGUGGUAAUUAAAAACAAAGCAAAACAUUUUGCUUCGGGCCCACAAAGAGCAACCUGCUGAUGUUUCGUAGGCCAAGUCCGUUGUGUUUCCAGUCCAUGGCCAACGGGAGAGGGGCUGGGAGGGUUUGGUUGGUCGGUUGGAAUUCCUUGGCUGGGACUAGCACCUCCACCUCAGGUUAUCCAGGCACCGCAGGUGAUGUAAAGGUUUGCUCUGCCUGCACAGGGCACAACUGAGCUGCUCCAGGAGCAUCAUCCCCAUCCCCCAGUGCUGGUGCAGCAUCAUCUGUGUGGCUGGGGUACCACCAGGAGAAAGGGGUGCCAGCAUCCUGCAUCACGCCACUCCUCCUGGCAUUUUCUCCCUGUACUGCCCCUGUACUUCGUAGGGGGCUGGCAGAAGCCCUAGGAGAGACUCCCUGGUGUGUGCAGGUCUCACGUGGAGGUUAAAACCAGCGUUAUCAGCAUCUACGUGGUGCCAGCUUGAGAUGGGAGGAGGUGAAAGCUGUGUGUGAAGGGUUCAGCAGCCUGGGGGGGGAGGGGCUGGCACAGCCUGGCAGUGCCUGUGCCCAAGGGGAUGGGGACAGUGGUAGGCUGAAAGGCUGGGGCUGUAUAUUUGGUUGUUUUUUUCCUAAUACCUUGAUCCAUAAAGGAAAGAACUCCAGGAUCGCAGAAAGAGAACCACCCAGAAACUGUGGGCAACGGUAUGGAAGGGUCGAUCAGAAGAGAUGGCAAAAAUACAUCUGCCAGUUUUUCCUCCUGACCAAGGCAGGAAACCCUGCGAGAGCCACGCUGCUUGUGCUGUUCCGCUUCCAGCCCCAGGAAGCACACAGGUUCAGUGGAUGCUGCACAUGAGACCAUGUGUACUGGGACAAAAAGUGCCUCCAAACAGACCCUCUGAAGAGUGACGUGCUAUUAUUGGUCUGCGUCCAUAGGAUGCUGAAAACGUACUUAACGCCUUCCCUCCGUUACUUUCCUCUAUCCUUCCUCGAUGACCUUAUUCGAACCUAAUAUUUUUCUCCAGACUUCCAAUGACAGACAUUUUUAAUAUGCUUCUGUUGCAUUAAUAAAAAGAUUAUCCCCCCCCUC